rnacentral:lncRNA from 1 species
AAUUUCUCUCUUCUCUUGAAGAAAAAAAGGUAGGGAUGGUUCCUCUCCUAUUCUUUUUGUGAAUUGUGCUAAUAUCUCCUGAUCAAAAAAAUUCACUUGUGUCCCAUUUCCCUUUCCAGUUACUGCACUGCUUUAUACUUCCCUCUUGUGUAUGCUGUGUCCUUUCACUCUUGAAGAAAAAAAGGCAGUUCUACAUGAUAUUGCUUUACGUAUGUUCAUUGACCUGGUCAAAGAGGUGGAGCUGCUGGAUAACCAUGGUGUGAAUAGCUACAGGAAGCCAGCAGAUCAAAGAGCUCUCCACUGUUUAAAAAGCUCUUCUCAGGAGAGAAAGGAGUGGAGAAUGGGGUCAAUUCUUAGAUGUCACUCCUGUUGAGAACAGACAGUGAUGGAAGAGAAGGCAUCCUCUGGUGAAAGAAACCAAAAGGUUUUUUAUUUUUUUUCCUCUUGUAGGGUCUGCUCAAUGUUCUUUAUUCUCUGCCAAAAUCAAAACUUUGUAUUGUGUCUUCUCUGUCCUCCAGCCUUGUAUGUCUAAUUUAUUUCAUUUUUUAAAUUGUUUAUUUUUGGUACGGUGAAGCUUGGUGUCAAUCCAUUAGGUCUAGAAAUGCUACAAGUGUGUUCCCUCUGAAGGAUGAAGCACUGUAUUUUUGUACAGAGUUUCCGUGUCUCGCCUGUCUAGAUUCACAUAUUCUCAGUCUUGUACCUUCUUUUCCUUUGUAUAUGGGUGAAAAGGUGUAAGAAAAGAAACUGUGUUAAGUGAGAUAAUCUGUUAGUAAAUCCCCAGUAUAGCUGCACAAAAUGAUCAGCAGCUGUAACCCAAUUAAAUGUAGCAAUUUCACAGUACACUACUGCUCACCAGAGAGCAUAUACCGAUAUUUUCUGAGUAUUCAGCCAAACCAUUUUGUACCACUGUUUGCAAACUUCUCCUCAGGAAUAUUUAACAUUCGGCUAAAGCUCCUCAAACACAAAGGGAAGAUGAGAGGGAAGAGAAAAAGCAAAGGAACAUAGUGCAAGGAGAGCCAAUUAGUAAGUAAAUCCACUGUCUCUUGAACACAAAGUAAUUGCUUCACAGGUGUGCACAGAAGAAGUUGCAGUUAUAACAUAACUAGAAGGUUAACUAUUUAAAAGGUCUUCUCAAAGAACAUUUAGAUUAAGGAGCCUUUCUGCUUUAGUUCAAAGCUCCUGCUGCUGAUUUAUGAGUCCAAAGUGAGGAACCAAGCUAUUCCUUGUUUAAUGUGAUCCCUUUAAUAGCUAACCCAUUUCUAACUUUGCUUUUAUAGAUAUCAUGGCUCAGAUCUCUGCUGAUCUGGAUGCUUUUUGCAUGACCAUAUGGCAUAUGACCAUAUGAUAUAAAAUUAUUUGGCUACCAGUUACUGGGGUGAGGAGAAAACACCCUCAAAAUACUCUUGCAAGGCUGAGGUUAUAUAUUUCUCACCACCAUUUUCAGUUUGAGACAUGCCCAGAGACAUCUUUAGUCUAAUAAAUGGUUUACAAAACAAUAUAACAACAUUAAUAGAAACUUCUGAUUAUAUGAAAUAAAAUUUAAAACCCAAUCUUAUUAAUUUCUUUUUAUAUUUGAAACUCUGUAUCUUACUUCCAUUGAUGUACUGUGAUUUUUGUCCUACUCAUCUGCCAGACAAUCUCAGAAAGGCUCAAUCAAAGUGUGAAAAGCUGAACUCCUACUUUUGACAAUUAGUGAAAGAGAGCAUUUAAAGCCAUGUGUCUUCUUCUGUCCACAUUUCCUGCUGAAAUCACUUAUUGGUAAUCAUUUUGCAAACAUGGGACUCAAAGAGAGGACCUUUUAAUAUUUGUGCAAAUUAUCCUGUGCUUACAGUCCCUUAGCAUAUUCUGUCUAGAACUGCAACUCUCUGCAAAGACAAAUCUUUAGCCUGUGGUUAUGUGACACGAUACCAUAUAUGAAGAAGAAGGCAGAAGAAAAGAGCCCAGAUCACUGCAGAGCUCUGUUUUUUUGCUCUAUUUUUCUGAGGUAGAUUUAAAGCAGUAACAUAUGAAAUCCUGCCAGAGCCUUGAUUUCAUCAGUGGUGUUUGGUUGCUGCUUAAUUAACACACUUUACGACAUUCUGAACAUCACACAGACCAGGAGUCUUACAUAUGGAGUGAUGAAACAACAGAAGACAGGGCUUUCUGUCCAGAAUUUUUUUUCUAUAGUGUCCUUGUUCCAUAAGCACUCAUUGCUGUAAAUAAAUCACAUAAUGCUCACUUGCCAAUAAAGUAUUUACCAGCCUGAGGUUAUCAACGCUAUGUUUUGUUCUCAUUUCUUUAUAUCCAAAUGGUAAAGUCCUGGUAAAAAUUUUAUUUUAUUCUAUACAGACCUCUGUUUCAGUUCAUUUUAAGUGACAAAUUUGCCUAAAUAGCCUUCAGUUUGACUUGGAACUUUUUCAGCUGAACAUGGUAAGAAAAUAAAAGAAUGUAUAUGAUCUGUUUAAAUAAUUGCCCCUUAACAUCUCCGAAACUAUGCAGAAUAUUUUUCUAAGCAGCAAUAAUGCC